rnacentral:ncRNA from 1 species
UACAUUUUCACUCAUUACGUUUCAAAUCAUUCAAUCAACCGAUCAAAUAAUUUCCUUGUCAGGGAAGUCCGGUGCAAAUCCGGCACUGUCCCGCAACUGUAAUGGGAGAAGACGCCGCACACAGCCACUGUCCUGCCGGAUGGGAAGGCGCGGCGGUUUUACACCCUGAGUCAGGAUAUCUGCCAUGGAAAUGCGUUUGUCC